AGCGAACGCUGGCGGCAGGCCUAACACAUGCAAGUCGAGCGGCCGUAGCAAUACGGCAGCGGCAGACGGGAGAGUAACACGUGGGAACGCGCCCUUCGGUUCGGGAUAACUCAGGGAAACUUGAGCUAAUACCGGAUACGCCCUUACGGGGAAAGAUUUAUUGCCGAAGGAACGGCCCGCGUCCGAUUAGCUUGUUGGUGAGGUAACGGCUCACCAAGGCGACGAUCGGUAGCUGGUCUGAGAGGAUGACCAGCCUCACUGGGACUGAGACACGGCCCAGACUCCUACGGGAGGCAGCAGUGGGGAAUAUUGGACAAUGGGCGCAAGCCUGAUCCAGCCAUGCCGCGUGGGUGAUGAAGGCCCUAGGGUUGUAAAAUUCUUUCACCGGGGACGAUAAUGACGGUACCCGGAGAAGAAGCCCCGGCUAACUUCGUGCCAGCAGCCGCAGUAA
rnacentral:rRNA from 1 species